UAUGCCCCGCUUUGAAGAAGAGGGGGUAUAUUGCUUUGCUCAUGUCGGUCUGUCGGUCGGUCGGUCGGUCUGUCGGUCCGUCCACCAGGUGGUUGUCAGACAAUAACUCAAGAACGCUUGGGCUUAGGAUCAUGAAACUUCAUAGGUACAUUGAUCAUGACUCGCAGAUGACCCCUAUUGAUUUUGAGGUCACUAGGUCAAAGGUCGAGGUCACGGUGACCAGAAAUAGUAAAAUGGUUUUUGAAUGAUAACUCAAGAACGCAUACGCCUAGGAUCAUGAAACUUCAUGGGUAGAUUGAUCAUGACUUGCAGAUGACCCCUAUUGAUUUUGAGGUCACUAGGUCACGGUGACCUGAAAUAGUAAAAUGGUUUCAGGAUGAUAACUCAAGAACGCAUACGCCUAGGAUCAUGAAACUUCAUAGGUAGAUUGAUCAUGACUUGCAGAUGACCCCUAUUGAUUUUGAGGUCACAAGGUCAAAGGUCAAGGUCACGGUGACCCGAAAUAGUAAAAUGAUUUUCGGAUGAUAACUCAAGAACGCUUUUGCCUAGGAUCAUGACACUUCAUAGGUACAUUGAUCGUGACCCGCAGAUGACCCCUAUUGAUUUUCAGCUCACUAGGUCAAAGGUCAAGGUCAC